UACUCUCACUCUCAUUCUCAUAGACAUUCAAAUUUUCUCAGCCCCGCCACCUCCAACCUCGCUCCCUUCCCUCGCCGCCGCUCCUUCGCCGUCCACCCCCACAGCACCCUCUCCGAUGUCUUCACCCCACAGCACCCUCUCCAAUCUCUUCACCCCGCAGCACCCUCUCCGAUCUUGCGCCAAAUAAGGAUUUCUCAAAACUAAAAAGACUCUUCUCUUUUUUCUCUCCUUCACCUCUUCCAUGCCGUGACUAGUUAGAUAGUUCCAACCUCCAACUUCCAAACGACGAGCCAUCUUGUUAGUUUCAUGGAACCGCAUUCGAUUCGGCGAAUCAUCGUGUUUGUAACCAUAACCAUCUUCUCCCUCUCACUCCUUGCCAUUUUGACAGUGUUGUUAAUCGCGUUUGUAGGUUUUGGUAGUGGUGGGACUCUUACCGUAGCCAUGGCGGUGUCCGUGACGCGUGGUUCGGAGAAAGGAACCAUGGCUAGUUCGCAUCGCAAACUCAACAUGGAGGCAAUUCAUUAACAUAGGCAUACCAUUUUUUUUUGUUUUUUUUAAUUGCGUGGCUCCUGUUUGUUUUGUGUUGAUGCUGCGAUGAAAUUUUUGCAGGCAAGAAAAUAUGCCACUUAGAUUGUUGCAAAUUUACAGAGGUAGCAGGUUUAGUCCAAGCUCAUCGCCUCUGAUUACUUGGAUACUAAUUUGGAUCUUAUGGAUGUCUUGGUAUUUGGGUCAUUUUGGUCAUGGCUUUAUAUCAAAUAUGUUCUGGACUCACUACGAAGAAGUUUUUUGACUACAUUCAGCUUCCAAAUUUUGACAUAGCUGCAGAUGCCGCAGCAACUUUUAAGGAGCUAAUGACAAGGCAUAAAUCUACUGUAGCUGAUUUCCUUAGCAAUUAUUAUGAAUGGGUAGUUUUGACACUUGUCUAUUGAGAUGUCACUUUUUGUCAUAUUCUUAGCAUGGAUGUUAUGCUUGAUUUGUGAAGGAGAAAAAAAGUUUUUUUUUUCUUUUCAUGAUGAAAGUUAAUGACUUGGCUUGUGAGUGUGUCAGCUACUAGGUAUUGUGUUCAAGGAUGUAAAAUAUUAAAUAUCACUCAAAGCUUUCUGAACAAUGCGGUCAUUAAUUGCU